GCCUGGGUGGCUCAGUGGGUUAAAGCCUCUGCCUUCAGCUCAGGUCAUGAUCCCAGGGUCGUGGGAUCGAGCCCCGCAUCAGGCU
rnacentral:tRNA from 1 species